rnacentral:rRNA from 1 species
UGGGGAAUAUUGGGCAAUGGGCGCAAGCCUGACCCAGCAACGCCGCGUGAGGGAAGAAGGUUUUCGGAUUGUAAACCUCUGUCCUUGGUGACGAAGGAAGUGACGGUAGCCAAGGAGGAAGCCCCGGCUAACUACGUGCCAGCAGCCGCGGUAACACGUAAGGUGCGAGCGUUGUUCGGAAUCAUUGGGCGUAAAGGGCAUGUAGGCGGUCUGUCAAGCCAGGCGUGAAAGCCAGGGGCUCAACCCCUGAACUGCGCUUGGAACUGGCGGACUGGAGUCGCUGAGGGGGAACCGGAAUUCCUGGUGUAGGGGUGAAAUCUGUAGAUAUCAGGAAGAACACCGAUGGCGAAGGCAGGUUUCCAGCAGACGACUGACGCUGAGGUGCGAAGGUGCGGGGAGCAAACAGGAUUAGAUACCCUGGUAGU